UCUCCUUCUAAGCUAAAUAUUACCAUGAGACCGAUAGCGAACAAGUACCGUGAGGGAAAGUUGAAAAGCACUCUGAAUAGAGAGUCAAAUAGUACGUGAAACUGCCUAGGGGUUCAAACCCGUUGAACUCGAUUGACCGGGGCGGCGAUAUUCACCUGUGUGUCCGCUGGUCGGGCCGCAGGGCACUUAUCGUCCGCAGCAUACGGACAUCGCGAUCCAUUACGAACGCCAGUAGUGCGGCAACGCACGACAGCAAAUCCAACACCCAGGUCCCUGGCUCGUGUUGUCGACCCUCCAGUAGCGGUGCUUAGCUUCGAAUGCCGGCACAGCGAACGGGGGCCUUCGGGGCUUUGAUGCAACGAUGAUCGACCGAGCGUGGUGUACCGUUGGAUGCGUGAUGGGCUUUGAACGCAAUUCGGAGAGACGGAAGCGCAUGCGGCAACGCAUUGCACCGGCACCUAGCCAUGGGCGCCCGUUCUCACGGAUCAGCAAUGUGAAUCCUAUGAUCGAGGUACCUCCGGGACCCGUCUUGAAACACGGAAAAAAAUUCCCAA
rnacentral:rRNA from 1 species